rfam:Brassica rapa chromosome A3, whole genome shotgun sequence.
AUAGCCUCCGAAUAACGAGAAAGUGAAAUAUAGGAACACUUUCUGGUUCAGACAGAGGCUUAUAUCAAAACUCGAAUCAGUUUUUGAGGGUGAAAGAGCUUUACUCUUUUUUUGCUCAUCAAAUCCAUCAUCCGUUUCUUGGAUAGAUUCGAAUAUCU